rnacentral:lncRNA from 1 species
UGGCAAGGAGGGGUCGUCGUCGACGUAGUCGAUCACAAGGGCAGCAUCGGUCUCGGGGUCUACCGGAGAGAAGAGGGGGAAGAAACAGUAAAUAUAAAGCAAACAUAGCACCACAAAGCAUAACAUGGCAAUAAGAUGUGCCGGGUGUGACCUAACGCGGUAGGAGGUGAUAGCGGCGAAGGGGGGAAACAUCCGGGAAAGUAUCCCCGGUGUUUCGCGUUUUCAGACAGAUGAUUCGGAGGGGAAAAGUUGCAUGUUCGCUAUGCAAGGGAUGAGUGGCGGACGAACGGGCUGCAUAUCCGGGUUCGUCUCAUCGUUCUGAGCAACUUUCAUGUACAAAGUUUUUGCAUCCGAACUACGGUUUAUUUUAUAAUAAUUUUUCAAAGCUUAAUUGAAUUCUUGGGAUUAUUAUAUUUAGCUUAAACCGAAUUGACUAAGUUAAAUUUGACUAGUCAAAGGGCAGGUGUGGCCCACAUGUCAUAGACUAUUUACCUAAACGAUUAAACAAAUCUAACUUAUUUAAAAGGGCCUACAUGUCAUCUACUACUAAACUAACUUAACAUUAAUUAAACCUAGUAGAAAUAAUCUAAGCUAGGGCCGGCCAUUAAUGGGCAUAGCCCAACCGGCCACACGCAUGAUGCACACAUACACACAGGAGCACACGGCCAUGGCCAACUGUACGCACACACACUAUGCAGAACACACACUCACCCACACAUAGCUCUGUUUUCUGCUAACAAAAGAUAGUAUUUUGUGAUUUUCAUCGAAUUUAAUCUAUUCACUAAAAGGAUUUGGUCCAAUGGAAACAUUUGAGCAUUGUCAAGUGUACUACCCGCACAUAUUUAUUUUAGCUAUGUUAGGCUUGAUCUAGUUGCUGUUUUGAGGUUGUUUAGAGGGCCAGUCAGCAUAAUAGAUGCAAAGCUGGCUACUGCUACAGUAACUGAACGUUACUGUAGCAGAGGAGCAUCAGCAGCAGUGCAGCGGCGCGGCGAUGCUGGAGGUGGGCGUGGCCGGGCGUGGGCUCGACCACCCACUCAAUGCACACACACACUGCACGCACGCACUCACCACACACACAGCACGCCCGCACGCACACGGGGGCGCACCGCGCGAGCGGCAGAGGCGGCACGCGGGCAGAGCAGCCAGGGGGGCGCACAGGCGAGCGCGGCGCUACGGGGCCCUACGCGCGUGCUGAGCAUGACUGCGAGCUCGGACGAGCGCAUCGGCGAGCGUGGCCACGACGAGGAGCUCGACGGCGGCGUUGUGUUCGGACACCGUAGAAGCGGAGAGCUACGGGCGCAGCAAUUUAAAGGAGGAAAAGGAAGAGGUGACGGAGCUCACCGAGCGGCUCAAGGUGGCCCGUGGAAGAUUAGUAGCAGCAGAGUCGCCGGGGACGGAGGAGGAUCGCCGGCGGCCGAAGCAAAGGGAACGGCUCGAUCCGCGGCGUAGCAGAGCUCUCCUGCUCGCGCUCGUGGUUGAGGACGAUGUAGUCGAGACCGGCGGAGACGAUGGAUAGGACGGCGAAGCGAUGCGAUGGCUGUGGCCGCGUGGACGACGGAGAACGGCGGCGACCGCGUCGGUCUCCUCACCAGAACGAAGGAGAGGGAGAGGAGAGAGGUGGAUCUGGGGGAGGAGAGGCGCAAGUGGGGG